CUUCACGGAUGGAACCCGUGUGCUUAACAUAGUGACGAACAAUAGGUGGAAUGCCAUUCAUCAAGUCUGUGCAAAAGAUGCAUAUCCCAGUGGCUAAUAGGAACAACCAGGUCGGAGUACCUGAGAUGGCUGGAGUGAGAGCACCAUCGCCCAUCACCAUGGAAGUCGCGAUCAGCACGACGUAGGUGAUGACUGACUGUGCUGUUGUGCUUCUUUCCAAGAACUCACGCAUCUUAGACGGCAGUUUCUUCUUCUUGCUGUGGAACUUGAGAUUAAUGUCGGAUGCCAGCCGUGUGACUGGCAUCGGCAUGCUUCCGCUAAAAUUCACAUGCUGGCGCAGGAGCGAGUAGAGGGCAAAAGUACCACCUGCACGAAGUAAGCGUGUGUUUGUAAGUAAGCUUCGAAAUCCUAUCGCUACAGGUCCAGAGAUUUUUUGGCACGCAAAAGAUUAUCGAAUCCGAACAAUCAAGUACCCCCUGUUUAGAUAGUGAUCUAAACGCGCUUAUAUUUUUUUACGGAGGGAGUACCUUCUUAAGAUAUUUGUGCUUGUGAUAUACCGUGGGUACAGAAUUGUAUGGUGGUGGAAACAUUUUAUUGGCCAUU